GUUUGGCCCUAUCGAAGCUGUGUAACUGCCCAAUUUUUCAAUGGUGAUGCACGGUCAAAGUGAGGCCCAAAUUAAGUUUCUGUAUAUUGGUCACUGGAUAGCUCUUUUUUUUAUAGUUAAUUCAGUAUUACCCAAACAGAAAACAGCU